CACUGGGACUACACAGGGCUGUUGUGAAGACUCAAUGAGCUCAUCCCCACACGGCCUUCAGCACAGGGCCUGGCUCAGGGCAG
rnacentral:miRNA from 10 species